CAUUUCCACGCCCCGGGCGAAUCGUGCAAUCUACGCAUGCGCGGAAAAUGCGGCACCGUUCUCAGCCCGAAGGGUAUAGACCGCAGCAGAAACUGGGGAUGGGGGAGACGUACGCAUGUGCAGAAAGUGACCGGGGUGUGUUUUCUGCGCAACCGCACAGACUUGGUAUUUAGCUUACUCCAGUGACUGGAAGGAAAGUUCUCGAAAAGCUGCUGUCGGUGCAGGAGCACGAUGAAUAAAGAGGAACCUGAGAAAGCGCUAUUCCAGGAAUUUCCACUAUUUCAUUUAAAGAAUAGAUCUGUUUAACCUGUGUAUAAGUGCCUCCUUCGACUAAUACUAAAUUGGAUAUUAUGAACGAUUUGGGAAGAUUUUUAGAUGGCUUGAACGCCGAAAUGACCGAUAUGAGGAAAUACAACUGAAAAAACUUGUUACCAUUAACUUCCUUCUUAUCAGAAAGCUGCUGUGUUCGUUCAGAAUGGGGUUUUCUUACAGGAAUAUCGUCAUUCCACCAUUCUCAGCCCUCUUUGUCCCUGUCUUUGUUCCCCUCCCCCUCUCCUUGUCCAUUUGGGCGCCAUUUUAAGGUGAUGGAAAGUUCUGGAGAGUCCGCCAUUUUGUGGCGAGCAGUGUUCUGCCUUAACAGGGAGUGCUGCGCAUAUACAGUGCUGGAAUACCAGGGAUGUAGUCUACUUUGUGUCUUAAAAAUAGUGGAAUAACAAGCAAUUAGCACCCCAUGCGAUCUAAAAAUCUGGUCUUUUGGAAGAUGCUAUUUCGUUUAAUAAUAGCAUUAAAUAAAACUGGCUUUACGUGCAGCCUAUACAGAUCAACUGAUACAAGUUCGCUUAAAAUAAUAGGAUAUGUUAAAUUUAUAUCAGAUUGGAGAGAAGGAAACAAUUCUCUGGGGAAAGAGCAACAGUUUGGUUAGUGAUGCCACUGUACAGUAAGUGUUUCAGAAAGGAUAUGAAUAAUUUUUUAUUAAUUUUUGCAUUUAAAGUUUCUACGUCACCUCUCAAACAUACAUCUGCAGUCAUUAGUACCAACAUAGCCUGGAUCACAUUUCUCUCGUUCUAAUUGUAAAUUUAUAGUAGUACACAAAGAAUACCCGAAACUUGUGUAAAAAUCUAAUGUUGGUAUGGCUCUUUUUCUGGUGAGCAAUUUUGUUCUUGGAUAGGGGCCAUAUUUUUCUUAAGUGUUGACUGAAACUGCAAAUUAUGAUUCAAUCCAGUUGCUAUGUCAGUCUAAGAUGGUGAAUGUGAUGCAAUAACCAAAUUUUGGUGAUUGCAAAAGGUCUGGAAUUUCAGCAGAACAAAAUUUGUAAGGUUUUAUUUUGCGUAUGAAAUGUAUUUGGUGUCCUGAAAAUUAGCAUAUCACAAAAAAAACUUAAUGUAUUGUUUAUCAAAAUUUUUAAUUUUAUCUGUUAAGGGUUUAUUAAUAGAGGAUUAAACCCUUUCAAAGGAUGUGACUCCUAGGAUCAACACCCUUGGUGCAGGAUACCCACAUUGAGAAGAUAGAUUAAAAAGCUGAUGAUACUAUAGCUUGGCUUUUAAAUGUCUGUAAUUGUUUUGAGUAACGAAAAUAGCGCACUCGUGAUGUGGAUAUAUUUCCCAAGCUUGCUCUUUGUUACUUGGUAUCCACCCAAUGUGUUUAUUCAGCGAUUAUUUUUUUUUUAAAUGUAAUGGCUGCACUAGUAACUAGACUAAUUUUGCGUUCUGGUUAGUGCAGAAGCCUGCACCAUUCUUACACUUCAGUUUUUUUUUAACUUUAUUAAUGGCAAAUAAAUUAUCCUUGUACUGUUAGUGUGGAAUUUGGUCUAACAGUUGAUCAAUAGUGUAUUUUGUGGCCAUGAUAUUGGACAUUUUUUUUUCAGAAAGAACAUUACAGAUAACACUAGGUUGAUGGGAUUCUGUUUGAAACUUAUGCUUCUCAGGAAUAUCUGCAGUAGGGCUUUCUGAAGGUGGAAAGAGGAAAAGUUUCACAUGGAGAGACCAGGCACUUCACAACUUGAUGGAAAAACAAGUGAACAUGGACCGUACUCCGAAUGAUCAGUUAUAAACAGCCACUGGCCCUGAGGAAAGCCAAGUGUCAUUUCUCAUGGCUCAGGGAGAUCUCAAAAUUAUGCAUCAAAAUCAUUUGUGCUUC